GGAGGGGUGGCCGAGCCCGGUUUAAGGCGGCGGUUUGCUAAACCGCUGUACUAGUGAAAGCUGGUACCGGGGGUUCAAAUCCCCCCCCCUCCGCCA
rnacentral:tRNA from 1 species